rnacentral:rRNA from 1 species
GCCUACACGAAGCUGGAAUCGCUAGUAAUCGCGGAUCAGCACGCCGCGGUGAAUACGUUCCCGGGCCUUGUACACACCGCCCGUCACACCAUGAGAGUCUGUAACACCUAAAGCCGGUGGGAUAACCUUUAUAGGAGUCAGCCGUCUAAGGUAGGACAGAUGAUUAGGGUGAAGUCGUAACAAGGUAUC